rnacentral:hammerhead_ribozyme from 1 species
GCACUGCUGAGGAGUCCGAUAAUAGAACAAAACGCUCGUCCAGUGC